GACAGAGGGUGCAACCGUUGCUCGGAAUCACUGGGCGUAAAGGGCGUGUAGGCGGGAGGGAAAGUCAGAUGUGAAAUCCCCAGGCUCAACCUGGGAACUGCAUUUGAAACUCCCCUUCUUGAGUAUCGGAGAGGAAAGCGGAAUUCCUGGUGUAGAGGUGAAAUUCGUAGAUAUCAGGAGGAACACCGAUGGCGAAGGCAGGUCUCUGGGCCACUACUGACGCUGAGAAGCGAAAGCAUGGGGAGCGAACAGG
rnacentral:rRNA from 1 species